CCACAAAAUUUUACCAUCCAAACAAAAAGAAAAUACAAAAGAAAAUUACGGACAGGAAGUUUCAAAAAUACAUUGGUCAGUCCAGAUCUACAACUAUGGUGGUUUUUGAGAAACCUUCUUCUUUGACUUCAUCUCAUCCCCUUCAGCUUCCUCCCAGAAGAGUAAUCACCCUUGGCGGAAAUUGACCGAAAUACCAACAACCCCGACAUCACUCAGAUCUAGCUCACUGGUGACUCGGGAGUUCUCUGCAUUAACAUUUGUUUCUAGGUUCCAUCAAGGCUUCAGCUUGGGUAGUGACAGCUUGUGCCCAAAUGUGAAGGGGCAAGAAAAAGGUAGCGGGCCAAGCUCAAAUUAGUGGUUCUAAAGUGGAUCCUUCAAAGAAGAAUCGCUCUCAUGCACUUCACUCAAGGGUUGAACAAGAGAAUUCUCCCGAUUUGGUGACCAUUAUGUUACAAGUAUUCUCUAUUGAUGUAUAUGUUUUUACAUGAUCCGGGUGCUACACUAUCUUUUGUUACUCCCUUGAUAGCUCGGAAGUUUGAUAUUUUUCCCGAUAUUAUAAAUGAACCUUUCAUGGUAAGUACCACGAUAAGUGAUUCGGUGGUUGCAAAGAGGGUGCAUAGAAAUUGUCCUAUAAUGUUACCCAAUAAAGUUACUCAUGUUGAAUUGGUAGAA